rnacentral:rRNA from 1 species
UCGAGAAUAUUUCGCAAUGGGGAAACCCUGACGAAGCGACGCCGCGUGAGCGAUGAAGGUCUUCGGAUUGUAAAGCUCUGUCACAAGGGACGAAAGUUUGCUGAUUAAUAAUCAGUAAACAUGACGGUACCUUGAGAGGAAGCCCCGGCUAACUCUGUGCCAGCAGCCGCGGUAAUACAGAGGGGGCAAGCGUUGUUCGGAUUUCCUGGGUGUAAAGGGUGCGCAGGUGGCAUGGUAAGUGGGGUGUGAAAUCUUAAGGCUCAACCUGAAAACUGCAUUCCAUACUGCCAAGCGUGAGGAUCACAGAGGUAAAUGGAAUUCUCGGUGUAAGGGUGAAAUCUGCAGAUAUCGAGAAGAACAUCGGUGGCGAAGGCGAUUUACUGGGUGAAUACUGACGCUCAAGCACGAAAGCUAGGGUAGCGAACG